rnacentral:rRNA from 1 species
GGCUAACUACGUGCCAGCAGCCGCGGUAAUACGUAGGUCCCGAGCGUUAUCCGGAAUUAUUGGGCGUAAAGGGCACGUAGGCGGACAAAUAAAGUUUGAUGUCAAAUAUGAUGGCUCAACCAUCAAGAGGCGUUGAAAACUGUUUAUCUAGAAUCUCGGAGAGGUAAGUGGAAUUCCAUGUGUAGCGGUGGAAUGCGUAGAUAUAUGGAGGAACACCAAUGGCGAAGGCAGCUUACUGGACGAAGAUUGACGCUGAGGUGCGAAAGCGUGGGUAGCAAACAGGAUUAGAUACCCUGGUAG